AGGUACACCUGCUGUUGAGGUAGUAGGUUAUGUUGUUGCACAUAAUACUGCAUUGGAGAUACACCAUGACCUUCUAACCUCUGCACCAUGUCUAUCACUUUCAACAUGG
ensembl:miRNA cin-let-7b cin-let-7b